CGGGGUGCAGCAGGCGCGAAAACUUUACAAUGCACGAAAGUGUGAUAAGGGAAUCCAAAGUGCUCAUGUUUAACAUGGGCUUUUGCCAAGGGUAAAUACCUUGGAGAAUAAGUGGUGGGUAAGACUGGUGCCAGCAGCCGCGGUAACCCCAGCGCCACAAGUGGGAGCCACAAUUAUUUGGCCUAAAGCGUCCGUAGCUGGUUAUGUAAAUCUUUUGUGAAAUCGGAAGGCUCAACUUUCCGGCGUGCAGAAGACACUGCAUAACUUGAGAUUGGGAGGGGUAAGGAGUAUCCCUAGGGAACCGGUAAAAUGGGAUAAUCCUAGGAGGACUACCUGUGGCGAAGGCGCCUUACCAGAACAAGUCUGACAGUGAGGGACGAAGGCUAGGGGAGCGAACCGGAUUAGAUACCCGAGUAGUCCUAGCAGUAAACUCUGCGGGCUAGGUGUUACACCAUCUAUGUGAUUGUGUAGUGUCGUAGCGAAGGCAUUAAGCCCGCCGCCUGGGAAGUAUGGUCGCAAGACUGAAACUUAAAGGAAUUGGCGGGGGAGCACAAGG
rnacentral:rRNA from 1 species